UUAAAAAAGAAACAAAUAUAAAUUUACAUACAAAAUAUAUAGUUGUGCAAGCAGAGUUUGAUUUUUGAGCUAAUUAACAUAUGUUACAUUACGUUACAUCAAUCCACGUUACGUCUCCUCGUGUCUACAUGCUGGCGAAGAAAAAAUAAAACCAAAAGGAAAAUACUUAGUAGCAUAGCACAUAACCUAAGCUAUUACUGACUCAUAUUUCAUAUUAAACAUACAGACAAAAUUGGAAAAAUAAUAUGUGAAGGAAGCACACUUAUUAAAAUACGUGAAUCAGCUCCUGCUAAGAGAUUGAUAUCGCUAAUAAAGGAUUCAAUUGCAUAAAGUAGGAGUCCAAAUUUGUAUUACCUCAGAUCCCUAUCAACUGGAUUGUAACUGAUCUAGCUGGUAACCAGAUAU